rnacentral:siRNA from 1 species
UAAAAGAGGGAUGCAACACGA